rnacentral:rRNA from 1 species
UGGUCCGGUGAAGUGUUAGGAUCGUGGCGACGUGGGCGGUUCGCUGCCGGCGACGUCGUGAGAAUUCCACUGAACCUUAUCAUUUAGAGGAAGGAGAAGUCGUAACAAGGUUUCCGUAGGUGAACCUGCGGAAGGAUCAUUGUCAAACCUGCAUCGCGAAGCG